UACGGAGGGAGCUAGCGUUGUUCGGAAUUACUGGGCGUAAAGCGCGCGUAGGCGGCUUUGUAAGUUAGAGGUGAAAGCCCGGGGCUCAACCCCGGAACUGCCUUUAAGACUGCAUCGCUUGAAUCCGGGAGAGGUGAGUGGAAUUCCGAGUGUAGAGGUGAAAUUCGUAGAUAUUCGGAAGAACACCAGUGGCGAAGGCGGCUCACUGGACCGGCACUGACGCUGAUGUGCGAAAGCGUGGGGAGCAGACAGG
rnacentral:rRNA from 1 species